UACGUAGGGCGCAAGCGUUGUCCGGAAUUAUUGGGCGUAAAGAGCUCGUAGGUGGUUUGUUACGUCUGCUGUGAAAACCUAGGGCUUAACCCUGGGCCUGCAGUGGAUACGGGCAGACUAGAGGUAGGUAGGGGAGAAUGGAAUUCCCGGUGUAGCGGUGAGAUGCGCAGAUAUCGGGAGGAACACCGGUGGCGAAGGCGGUUCUCUGGGCCUUACCUGACACUGAGGAGCGAAAGCGUGGGGAGCGAACAGG
rnacentral:rRNA from 1 species